rnacentral:rRNA from 1 species
GAUAAACGCUGGCGGCGGGCAUAACAUAUUCAAGUCGAACGGGAAUCGAAUGAUUGAGACUUCGGUCGAUAGAUUUCGAGGAUAGUGGCGGACGGGUGAGUAACGCGUGAGCAACCUGCCUUUGUGAGGGGGAUAACACAGGGAAACUUGUGCUAAUACCGCAUAAUGCAUAUCGAUUGCAUGGUUGAUAUGUUAAAGGAGCAAUCCGCAUAAAGAUGGGCUCGCGUCUGAUUAGAUAGUUGGUGAGGUAACGGCUCACCAAGUCGACGAUCAGUAGCCGGACUGAGAGGUUGAACGGCCACAUUGGAACUGAGAUACGGUCCAG